CUUACGAAGAGUUUGAUCCUGGCUCAGGAUGAACGCUGGCGGCGUGCCUAAUACAUGCAAGUCGAACGAGGAGCCUCACAUCUUCGGAUGAGGGGAUUUCCUAGUGGCGGACGGGUGCGUAACACGUGGGUGACCUGCCCCGAAGUGGGGAAUAACUCCGCGAAAGCGGAGCUAAUACCGCAUGUUGUCGCGCGAGUUAGAGGUCGCGCGUCUAAAGAUUUCGGUCGCUUCGGGAGGGGCCCGCGGCCCAUCAGCUAGUU
rnacentral:rRNA from 1 species